CUCGGGCGGCUUGAAGAAGGAGUCGGGCAGCUUGCGGAGCCGCAUGGGCAGCGUGUGCGGCACGUUGGCGCCCUUGGGGUUCAUCACGGCGUUGAAGAGCGCCUCCAGGCAUACAGGUAAUCUGCAGAUGGCUGAAACGUGCAGCAUAAAGCUGAAAUAAGGAUAUUGCUGAGCAUCUCAGAACAGCACCGCUUCACCGUCAGUUUAAAAGAAGUGUUGAAGGAGCCAUUUAUCACACCGAUUCCCAGCACCGCUACAGUUGGGGUUCAGAAAUAUGAGAGUAAGAGACGAAGGAAGCUUAAAGCACAUGAAGAACUCUCAUGCACUCUGCUACAGGAUUGGGAAGAAAGGAAAAAAACAUCCCUACCACACAGGCAAAAGGGCACAGUGUGAGAAGAAGUGAUGAAGUAUCUGUCUAAUCAGAAGAAAUAAA